GAUGAACGCUAGCGGCAGGCUUAAUACAUGCAAGUCGUGGGGCAGCAUGGGGUAGCAAUACUCUGAUGGCGACCGGCAAACGGGUGAGGAACAUGUACGCAACCUUCCUUUAACUGGAGAAUAGCCCCUCGAAAGAGGGAUUAAUACUCCGUAACAUAAUGAAGUGACAUCACUUUAUUAUUAUAGCUCCGGCGGUUAAAGAUGGGCGUGCACCUGAUUAGAUAGUUGGCGGGGUAACGGCCCACCAAGUCUGCGAUCAGUAACUGGUGUGAGAGCACGACCAGUCACACGGGCACUGAGACACGGGUCCGACUCCUACGGGAGGCAGCAGUAAGGAAUAUUGGUCAAUGGACACAAGUCUGAACCAGCCAUGCCGCGUGGAGGAUUAAGGCCCUCUGGGUUGUAAACUCCUUUUAUCUGGGAAGAAAUGUACUUUUUCCUGAGUACUUGACGGUACCAGAGGAAUAAGCACCGGCUAACUCCGUGCCAGCAGCCGCGGUAAACA
rnacentral:rRNA from 1 species